rnacentral:rRNA from 1 species
GAUGAACGCUAGCGGCAGGCUUAACACAUGCAAGUCGAGGGGCAGCGCGGGAUAGCAAUAUCCUGGCGGCGACCGGCGGAAGGGUGCGUAACGCGUGAGCGACAUGCCCGUUGCCCGGGGACAACCGGUGGAAACGCCGACUAAUCCCCGAUGGGAUAUUGUGCCGCAUGGCACGAUAUUGAAAGUUACGGCGGCGACGGAUUGGCUCGCGUCCGAUUAGCUGGUUGGCGGGGUAACGGCCCACCAAGGCUGCGAUCGGUAGGGGUUCUGAGAGGAAGGCCCCCCACAAUGGGACUGAGACACGGCCCAUACUCCUACGGGAGGCAGCAGUGAGGAAUAUUGGACAAUGGGCGGAAGCCUGAACCAGCCAUGCCGCGUGCGGGAAGGAGGCCCUAUGGGCUGUGAACCGCUUUUGCCUGGGGGCAAUAAGGGCGUCGCGCACGUCCGAUGAGAGUACCAGGCGAAUAAGCAUCGGCUAACUCCGUG